AGAGUUUGAUCCUGGCUCAGGACGAACGCUGGCGGCGUGCUUAACACAUGCAAGUCGAACGGUGAAGGCGGAGCUUGCUCUGCUGGAUCAGUGGCGAACGGGUGAGUAGCACGUGGGCAACCUGCCCCUCACUUCGGGAUGACUCCGGGAAACCGGGGCUAAUACCGAAUACGACCUCUGCGGGCAUCCGCGGAGGUGGAAAGUUUUUCGGUGAGGGAUGGGCCCGCGGCCUAUCAGCUUGUUGGUGAGGUAGUGGCUCACCAAGGCGACGACGGGUAGCCGGCCUGAGAGGGCGACCGGCCUCACUGGGACUGAGACACGGCCCAGACUCCUACUGGAGGCAGCAGUGGGGAAUAUUGCGCAAUGGGCGAAAGCCUGACGCAGCAACGCCGCGUGCGGGAUGACGGCCUUCGGGUUGUAAACCGCUUUCGGCAGGGAAGAAGCGAAAGUGACGGUACCUGCAGAAGAAGCACCGGCUAACUACGUGCCAGCAGCCGCGGUAAUACGUAGGGUGCAAGCGUUGUCCGGAUUUAUUGGGCGUAAAGAGCUCGUAGGCGGUUAGUCACGUCGGAUGUGAAAACCCGGGGCUUAACUCCGGGCCUGCAUUCGAUACGGGCUGACUCGAGUGUUGUAGGGGAGACUGGAAUUCCUGGUGUAGCGGUGAAAUGCGCAGAUAUCAGGAGGAACACCGAUGGCGAAGGCGGGUCUCUGGGCAACUACUGACGCUGAGGAGCGAAAGCGUGGGGAGCAAACAGGAUUAGAUACCCUGGUAGUCCACGCCGUAAACGGUGGGCGCUAGGUGUGGGGAACAUUCCACGUUCUCCGUGCCGCAGCUAACGCAUUAAGCGCCCCGCCUGGGGAGUACGGCCGCAAGGCUAAAACUCAAAGGAAUUGACGGGG
rnacentral:rRNA from 1 species